rnacentral:rRNA from 1 species
AUGGCGUCCAAGAGGAUCCUCAAGGAGCUCAAGGACCUGCAGAAGGACCCUCCCACCUCAUGCAGCGCAGGUCCUGUAGGUGAGGACAUGUUCCACUGGCAGGCCACUAUCAUGGGACCCUCGGACAGCCCGUUCACCGGUGGCCUAUUUUUGGUGAACAUUCAUUUCCCACCGGAUUACCCCUUCAAGCCCCCGAAGGUCUCUUUCCGCACCAAGGUGUUCCACCCAAACAUCAACAGCAACGGCAGCAUUUGCCUUGACAUUCUCAAGGAACAGUGGAGCCCGGCUUUGACCAUAUCAAAGGUCCUGCUGUCAAUCUGUUCGUUGCUGACGGACCCGAACCCCGAUGAUCCUCUGGUGCCCGAGAUCGCUCACAUGUACAAGACUGAUAGGGCCAAGUAUGAGUCCACGGCGCGCUCCUGGACACAGAAGUACGCCAUGGGCUAG